GAAUAAAAUAAUUAUUCUGGUAGAAGUAUACCAGUGGAGUUUAUCUGUGAGCAACAGUGUAAGUAUUUGUAGUUGGUAUGUAUACAGUAAUUCCGAAAUAAAAGUUUAAACUUAAAAUAAAGUCAAUAAGUGAUAAUAUUACAUCAAUAUAAUCUUCGUUUGAAUCAUAUUGGAGGGCAACAAUUACUGCAUAACCGACACAUUUUCUGAAUUCUGGAACUUUACAAUCACUGCCCAUCAAUAUGUCAUUUCUUCGUAACAUUUUAGUUGUUAUUAUGGCAGCGACCAUAUUUUUUGAUGCAGCAGAUGCUGGACAAUUGCUACAUUAUCGAUUUUCUAACGAAAUUUCUGACAAUACUGAUGACUUACGGAACGACACUCUAUCAAAUCUAUAUUUGACGAGAGAGGCUCCAAGAAACCAAAGAUUCACCAGUAAUGGAAAGGAUAUUGUGACUUCUGACGAUAGCAUAAUUCCACCUCGCCUCCGCGGAAGCUGUGUCGGCAAGCCUGGCGAGGGAAAAGAUUGCGUUGACAUAUACCUGAGAAUUUUACGUGCCGUUGAGAUGCCUACUGUUUCCGACAGUAAUCUGAUUAAGGGUCUUCAAAACGAA